AGAAAAAAAAACAAGAUUUUC
rnacentral:snRNA from 1 species